AUGCCGUCGUCUCCAUCUCCCUCGCCAGGUCCGCCCCAUUGUCUUCCUCGCUCCCUUCCCUCUCUCGACGGCGACAGAUCCCCGCUUCCCCCUUGCCUCACCCACCCCUUCCCUUUCCUCAACGGCGACGGCGCACGGCGAUGCCAUCCCCAAAGCGGCAGAUCUAUGCGCGGCUACAAACUCGCGACAAGGACGGCCGCUGCGUCUCCAUGGGUGGCGCUACUCCACCACGGCGCCGAAAUGCUCGCCGCACUCCCCCCUGCUCCCCAACAAGCGGUGGCGACGGCGCCAAGCCUUACAAGCUGCGGGCCCGCCGCGCUCACCCCUCCUCCCCAACAGACGGCGCCAAGCGUUAGAAACUGGAGGCCCGCAGUGCUUCCCCCUCCUCCCUAACAGGCGGUGGUGACGGCGCCAAGCGUCAGAAGCUGGAGGCCUGUGGCGCUUCCCCCUCCUCCCCAACAGGCGGCGGUGACGGCGCCAAGGGUCUGAAGCUGGAGGCCCAUCGCGGAAUCUUCAUCGACGUCACCUCUAGCACUGAGGAGGAGCAGGAGGGGAGGAAGAACAAGGGGAAGGGCAAUCCCACGACGGCGACAUCUAACAAGUAGGAGAAGGGGACGACGAACAGCGGGAAGGAGGAGGUCCCUCUUAAAAUGAUGAGCUUCCAGGACUUGCACAACAAUUUAGCAGCAUCACAGGAGAGUGUCAAUGCACUUGCAGAUGAGCUUGCAAAAGAAAAGGAAAGGAAGAAGGCACUUCAGUGUGCACUUCAAGUGCAGCCAAGAAGGCAAGACAUAACAUUUAGUGGAUGAAAAGAAGCUGAUGGUCGAAGCUUUUGGUUUGGGGGGGGGGGGGGGGGAGCUGAUAGUUGUAACUUCUGAUAGUUGAAGCAAAAAAUAACAUUUAGGGUUGGAUCAGCAUCAGCAAGGACAUGUGUUUUGUGUAGGACUGUUCUUGUAUUGUUGGUGUUCCACUAUGGAUGUAGACCUGUGUACCCGCUAAUUAAGUACAAUGUCAAAUAUGUUAUGUGUCCUGUGCCAAGACUUGAAGUUUAAUAAAAAAAUGCGUCAUGCUCAAAAUGUUAUGAAUUUUCA